GGAGGUUGAGUGCAGGGAAGCCGGCGGGAGGAAGGGAAGGGCUGGGCGAGCAGUGCGCGCGGAGCUGGGAACGAGGAAGGAGAAAGAGAGAGAGCGGAAAGAGGGGAGGGGGAGCCACGGAGUAUGAGGCGCGGGCCUGAGGCUGGUCUCCCCCCCCCCACACUCGGGGGAUGCCUUAACCGCUCGGAAGCAGGGCCGCUGCCUCUGCCGCCACAUCCCCGAGCCUGACAGGCGCCAUUUUACCGCCUAGAGUCCUCCCUCUCCCUCUUUCCUCCUCCUCCCUUCUGACAUCACUUCCGGCGACCCACCCACGUCCAGCAAUGGUGGUAGAGGCUACAUCCGGACUCAUCUACCCACUCUCCUCCCAUCCGGUUGUACUGCGCAAGCUCCUGAAUGAAGCUACUAAAUCACUCCCCGGAAAGGAACGAUUCCUUAGGUCUCCAUCCUGCCCAACUUCAGUAUAGGAAUCCCUACUGAAGAAGCCCCUUACCCCCAGGGCUAUGAGAUGUAUCCAGUUCCUGUGUGGAUUCCAUGAGAUUUGCCCUUUAACCUCUUCCUGUCCCAGAAGAAAAGGGAAGCCUGGGAUAUCCUGACCCUGCCCUUCCAUUUCAGUUUGGAAAAGCAGCAACCUUAUAUACAUAUAUUUUAUGGGUCUAAUUCUGAUGACUACCUACCUGGAAGAUUCAGACAAUGACCUGGAUAUCUGAUGGUGCUGACGGACUGGCUGUGAUGCCUGACUAACCUUGACCUACAACCUGCAUCUAUACAGAAUAUAGUCACACUUCAGUUUGUAGAUUAGGUUCUAAACUCUGUGUAAGCCACAAAGUGAUAUAGUUAAAAUUACCCUUGAAAUGACUCAUAAAAUGAAUUAUAGUAUCUUUAAACAGUUAUAGCUAGAAAGGGGCUAGAGUCUCUUUAAAGGAAGGCAGUCUGUGUCAGAGAAUGAAGAAAUUGAAGUUGUUAUUGUAGAAAUAAUUGAAAAUAAAUUUUGUUUUUCAUUAUA